AGAAGCAGAUCUGCGGUCCCAAGCAGUGCUGUCAGCGGAGUUCUGGCUGCAAGUCCACUUCUGGAUUCACCUGGCCUGGGACAUGUUGGCAUCAGUUUGGGACUGAGCAGAAGUCUGGCUCUCAGAACACCACCCAGACACCUGUGGUAAAGCCCAAGACUUCUGCUCAUCAGGACAUCCUGUAAGGGACCGUUCAGAUGGAUGGAACAAAUUGCUUCCUUUCCUUAAUUUCGACAUCCACAGCCUAGUAGCCAGUUUCCUUAAUGGUGGCCUUCAAGGUUUGGUAGCAAAGACUCCAAGAUCAGCUCUAACCCAUCCCUACAUUGUUCAACGACAAUGAUCCUAGUGGUGAAGGCAGUGAAAAUGCUACUUAAAAUUGGAGAGGUGGUGCUGCAUUGGUCCCCUUGUUGUACGAAAGGAAUCGCUGGAGCUUUGGGGACAAGAAGUGCCAACAGCCACGACAACUGUACACAGGCAACAGUAUCGGAGGAACCGAGAUGCUGUGACCCCCAUCCAUCCAUCCAGUACAUCCAUGACAUCAUUGUGUGGGGGGACACAGCAGAAGAAGUUUUUGAGAAAGGACAGAAGAUCAUCCAGAUUCUCCUCGAGGCCUGUUUUGCCAUCAAGAAGAGUAAGGUCAAGGGACCUGCCCAAGAGAUCCAGUUCCUAGGGCUGAAAUGGCAAAUGGACGACACCAGAUACCAACAGACGUCAUCAACAAGAUUGUAGCAAUGGCUCCACCCACAAACAAGAAAGAAACCCAAGCUUUUCUGGGAGCCACUGGCUUCUGGAGGAUGCACAUCCCAGAGUACAGCCGGAUGGUGAGCCCUCUUUACUUUGUGACCUGUGAAAAGAACAAUUUCCAAUGGGGUCCUGAACAACAACAAGCUUUCAGGCAGAUCAAGCAAGAGAUUGCACAUGCCGUGGCGCUUGGAGCAGUCAGGACAGGACCAGAGGUAAAGAAUGUGCUCUACUCUGCAGCUGGAGAUAAAGGUCCCUCCUGGAGCCUCUGGCCAAAGGUGCCUGGUGAGACGUGAGGGCGACCACUGGGUUUCUGGAGCCGAAGCUACAGAGGUUCUGAGGCCAAUUCCACCCCUGUGGAGAAGGAAAUCUUAGCAGCCUAUGAAGGCAUACGAGCAGCUUCAGAGCUUUCAGAUUCAGCAAUGUCCUCACUCCCGACAGACCUGGGUCCCCUUUCCAGAGUAAUGGAGGAGCACCGUGAUUUUUUAAUCCAAAAUUCCCAGAUUGGAAUGAAAUGCUCUGGAAAGGCUCUGGAAAUCAUUGGGUGUUCACAAUCAUCAAUGAAGAUGUUCACCAGGAAUUGCUGAUCACUGGCCUCCAGCUGGAUGUUGCACUCCUGAUCACCACCCUGGCCAGCAGAUUUCAACCAGCCUGCUGUCUGCUCAUCCAGCCCAUACUUCAUGGGCUUCUCUGUGAGGGAGCCCUGUCUGUGUCCACUAGUACACACAUUCAUUUGGAUUUUAAACAAUCAAACAGAAGUGAGAGUUUUAAGAGCAGAAUUAUUUUUCAAAGGGAAAUAGAAGGGUAUGGCUUUGAUGGAACGAGUGCCUUCAAGCUCCACUGGCAGGCACUGUUUGAAAACUAUUUGGGUGAUUUUUGAUAAGAAAUGAAAGAUGCAACAGCAGGAAGCCAUUCAGCAAUCCCUGACAAGGGAGGUCCACUGUCAAUUGCUGGGAGGGCCCCCACCUGUUUCUUUUAAUGGUGCUCCCAAAUCCCACCCCUUGGGCCUCCCAUCCCAUCCUUUUUGGUCCCCUCAGGCAUCUCCUCCCCAGGAUCUGCUCUGUGUCCUACCCAGGGUCCCCAAACAUCCUCCCACUGAUCAUUCCCAAAGCUUUUCUUUCCAUCCUUCCCCUCAGACCUUUGCCUUUCACCCAGGCCACUGCCCUGGUACCUCCCAAGACCAUUCCUUGCCUCCCUCUCCACUCCCAACCAUCUCCCAGUGCCCUCAUUUUUGUCCUCCUCCAUCCUCCUCCUCCUGUCCCCACCAAGCCUCUCCCUUGCAGUCCCCAUGUCCCUACACUUGAAUUCCUUUCCCCUCCCCUGCAUCCCACACAGGGCCCCUUCAAUACCCCAAUCCCAGUCCCGUGGGCUCCCCAGUUCCCCCCAGUUCAGCAUCUUUGGGUCCCCCCCAAUCUCUCCCCACCGUCCCUGCAGGCCCUGAAUUCCCCUGGCUCUCCUUGUCUCCAUCCCCACCCUGGGCCCUGCAGGCACAGGGGUUGGAGGUGAAACUGGGUGCAGUGGGAGCAGGGGGAGCAGAAGGGAUUUUCCCCCUCAGACGGGGGCAGCCCUGGGCUGGGGGGCUGGGGACACCCGUGUCCCUCCCCCAGCCCCACAGGGGCCAAUCCUGCUUAACCCUUUGCUCUCCUUGCCCAGGCACUCUUGGCAGGAACCCAAAAUGAUCUGCGGGAGCUGCAUUUAGUGGACGUUGGGAUCCUGAAGAUGGCUCAGCCCCCUGUGGUUGAGAAGGUGCUGGGUCCUGUUGGUGAGAAAGGCGUGGCUGCAUCCCUGGAUGGCUGAGGACUGGUGGUGACACCCGUGCCCUGUCCCCCUCCAGCACCAUGAGGAGAUGAUCAUCCCUGGAAGAACUCCC